UACGAAGGGUGCAAACGUUGCUCGGAAUUAUUGGGCGUAAAGCGCACGUAGGCGGCUUUGCAAGUCCCAUGUGAAAUCCCACGGCUUAACCGUGGAAGUGCAUGGGAAACUGCAGAGCUUGAGUACUUAAGAGGAUCGCGGAAUUCCCGGUGUAGAGGUGAAAUUCGUAGAUAUCUGGAGGAACACCGGUGGCGAAGGCGGCAUCCUGGACCGGUAUUGACGCUGAGGCGCGAAAGCCAGGGGAGCAAACGGG
rnacentral:rRNA from 1 species